UACGUAGGGUGCAAGCGUUGUCCGGAAUUAUUGGGCGUAAAGAGCUCGUAGGCGGUUUGUCGCGUCUGCUGUGAAAACUCGGGGCUUAACCCCGGGCCUGCAGUGGGUACGGGCAGACUAGAGUGCGGUAGGGGAGACUGGAAUUCCUGGUGUAGCGGUGAAAUGCGCAGAUAUCAGGAGGAACACCGGUGGCGAAGGCGGGUCUCUGGGCCGUGACUGACGCUGAGGAGCGAAAGCGUGGGGAGCGAACAGG
rnacentral:rRNA from 1 species